rnacentral:rRNA from 1 species
UACGAGGGGAGCAAGCGUUGUUCGGAUUUAUUGGGCGUAAAGAGCUCGUAGGCGGUUCGGUAAGUCGGAUGUGAAAUCUCCACGCUCAACGUGGAGGGGCCAUUCGAUACUGCCGUGACUCGAGUCCGGUAGGGGAGUGUGGAAUUCCCGGUGUAGCGGUGAAAUGCGCAGAGAUCGGGAGGAACACCCGUAGCGAAGGCGGCACUCUGGGCCGGUACUGACGCUGAGGAGCGAAAGCGUGGGGAGCGAACAGG